UUAUAAUAUAUAACAGCCUUUUCUAAUUGGCUGAAUUCAAAUACAGAAAGUUUACCUGUUAGAUUGAAACAUGAAACAUGGUGGACAAUGUACUGGUUUAACUUGUUAAAAUAAAGUUAAAGAAAUUUAACAAACAGAAGAGUUCAUUAGUUUUUCCAUUAAAAACACUUUCUUAAAAUACUUAUGUAUUUAUAUCAUUUGGAAAGUGACAUGAAAUAUUGCUAAAGAGUGAUGCAUACAGUGUUUGAGCAGUCUGUCUAGGAAUAGAACAACAACUGAAGUUGAUGGAAGAUACUGCAGAGUUUGGCAGGGAAAUAAUCCAACAGCAAAGCGGCUCUUUAAGCGCAUUUACCUAGAGGACUUACAGGGCUACAAAUUCAUGAGCACAUGUGAGCAGUAUACAAUGUACCUCAUACCAAAAAGGACCCGGAGGCAGUGACUGGUGUUCAAUAUUCUCAGAAGAAAAGGAAAAUGGCAGUGGAAGACUUGGACAAACAUUUUUAGCCUCUGUGUUAAGCCUGGCAGUCUGUGGCUGGUGACAUGUUUUAUUUUGGUUACUUCUUGUAAAAAAAAGACCAGUUAUUUAUUUUGUGAAUUGUAUUUUGUGUUUGUUUUUUGUCUUAAUUUAUUUGUUGUUUUUUUUAAUUUAGGAAUUUGAAACUUGGAUAAUUGAAUUAAGUCCGUGUUCAACAGUACUGAGCAUAGUAUAAUAAAUAACAAAUUUACAACAGUUGUUAAUUUGUUAUGUAUUAUUAUUAACUAUGCUCAGUACUUGAAUACUGGCUGUCUGCAUGGGAAUUUGUUUUCUAGAAAGUUGGUUUCAGACUUAAAUAUUUGAAGUUAACCUUCGGAACUUUUCUAGAAUUGUACUGGAACACAUCAACUAGAACUGAACUUCUGUUAUCUUACUGAAAGUGUUCUAGAAUUAAUAAGGAACAGUUGUUGAACGUUAAAAUUUAUGAGAAAAAACUCUAGAACAAGUGUGUGUGAUGUGUGUGUGCAUGUAAUUGUGUGUGUUUAUGAACAUAUGUGAGAAAGGAAGUAUACUUGUCAUAAAAGAAAUGUAAAAUUCUACUUCUAUGUUUUAUAUUGUGCCUUUUAUAAGUUUUUCUGUUCUCACCUGUAUAUGCGUGCAUGUUUAUGGAUGUGUUUUUGAAUGUGUGCAUGCAUGCCUGUGGUUAAGAGAGUUGGUACUUUAUGAAAAUGUAAAACCACUCAUUUUUGAAUAUGUACUGUGACUGCAUGUGUGUGGUAAAUGAUUGAU